rnacentral:rRNA from 1 species
CCGUCCCGGUGAUGAAAAGUAACGCUCAUCCUCUUUAUGCGUGCUUGGAUCGGCGGCGGGGUGGGCGUAGGCAGGAGGUAGGGACCAUGCUCGAGACGGGGCGGAGUAAUCACGGGAGGGGUUGAAAUUGAAAGGAGGGAACAAGCGAUUUCUUUCUCCGCUUCAGGUAGUCGUUCCCCCAUCUGAGGUCCUUUCCCUUAAGGAGUUGGUAUGACGGAAAAGUACCUAGUAAGGUCGACUCCUAAUUCCUCUCUUUAAUUGGCGUAGGGCCCCGGCGCGCGCUCACACUACGCGCGUCGAACGGCCGCCGCUACCUAAACGGCACCGACCUGGAGGGGAAGUGGAAGGAGUGCGACGAGGACCGGUGGGCGGACCGCAUGCUGAUGAUGCCGCAGCAGCGGCGGUGGAAGCGGCCGUCGAAGCGCGAGGUCUAGAAGGAGAAGAUGACGAAGCGCGCGACCAUAGCGGUGUGGUACCCGCGGGCGCGGCUCGACGAGGGGAGCAGCUGCUGCAGCGUCGUCGCGCUGCUCCCCAGGGGCGGGCAGGACUGGGGCGACGACCUCCGCAGCUCGCCCCGGCCGCGGCGGCGCCGGCGCCCCCGGGACGACCGGUUGGCCACGGACCGGAAGCACAAGUACCACAAGCAGGGCGAGUAGUAGCAGCAGAAGCUCGCCUCGGUCCGCCUGCAGCAGCGGAUGCGCGAGACGGAGCGGUUGUAUGAGCAGUACCAGCAGACCGAGAGCGGCCUCCGCGGGCCGAGGUACAGCCGGUGGUUCAGGAAGGACCCCGAGUCGCUGCUGCUCCUGCUCCUCUCGCCGCCGCGGCUCCUGUUCACGACGCAGACGGAGCGGCCGUACGCCCUCCUCGUCCGGGAGGCCCUGGACGGCGCCACGCCCGUGGCCAAGGUACUCUUCACGUAGCCGUUCACCGAGUUCUGGCCCGUGGGCUGUACGGGGCACACGGCCCGCGACCAGAACGGCGGCGGCCGGCACGUGCGCCUGGGCAAGCUGCUGAGACAAUCGGGGCAGAUCGAGACAAAGAGGGGACGUAGGUCAGAUUGUUAGUAAGGGUAUCUUUUAGUCUGGGGAUAAGUCGUAGUCUGCGACCUUUACCACUUAACGACCCAUUAAACGAUGAGAGAGAAGAACUAUUACGCAUCAACAGACUUGUUUACAAGCUGACAUCGGACAUUUAUUCCUGACAUGUAAAAAGGAAAAAUGAGACUUCCAACUCUGCUGCCUCAGAACGUACAAAAACACUUUCCACCUCACUAAAUGGUAAGACAAGUUUGCGACGGUUACCACUUAACAACUACUACACAUCAAGACUUGCUUGAACCAAUAUAGCUGCCCGUUACAAGUCAACAUUCAACGUUUUCUCCUG